GACGAACGCUGGCGGCGUGCCUAACACAUGCAAGUCGAGCGGAGCGGCGAACGGGUGAGUAACGCGUGUGUAACUGCCCCCCUCUCUGGGAUAACAGUUGGAAACGGCUGCCUAUACCGGACUGUUGGGGAUGACUCGCGUCCUUUCAGCUUGUUGGUGGGGUAGUGGUUUACCAAGGCGACGACGGGUAGCCGGCCUGGGAGGGCGACCGGCCACAGUGGGCUGAGAUACGGGCCAAACUCCUACGGGAGGCAGUAGGGGGGAAUGUUGCACAAUGGGGGAAACCCGGAUGCAGCAACGCCGCGUGCGGGAUGACGGCCUUCGGGUUGUAAACCGCUUUCAGCCAUGACGCGGUAGUGGCAGAAGAAGCACCGGCUAACUACGUGCCAGCAGCCGCGGUAAUUC
rnacentral:rRNA from 1 species